GAAGUUCGCCAGGCAGUCGCCGCGCGUACUCGUGCUGUGCGCGCGGAGGAAAGUCCGGGCCCCAUGGAGCAGGAUGCCGGCUAACGGCCGGACGCCGCGAGGCGAUGGAAAGUGCAACAGAAAACAAACCGCCGAUGGCCCGCGCAUGCGGGAUCAGGCAAGGGUGAAAUGGCGGGGUAAAAGCCCACCGCGGGACUGGCGACAGGCCCGGCACGGCAAACCCCAUCCGGGGCAAGGCCAAAUAGGGGAGCAAUGGCGUGGCUCGCGCCGCUCCCGGGUAGGCCGCUGGAGCGGCGCGGCAACGCGCCGCCAAGAUGAAUGACUGCCCGAUGUCCCUCGCGGGACAUCCGACAGAACCCGGCUUAUCGGCGAACUUCCCGC
rnacentral:RNase_P_RNA from 1 species